CUCCAGAAAAAUGGUGGUGGGGGCAGAAGCAGUAUGUGGAAACUUACUGAAAGUGAAAAUGCAAACAGCAGACUCCUUGGUGCUGUACAUGGUCUGUUGCCUUUACAUGUUGUCCUAGGGGACCUCAGGGACAGCC